rnacentral:misc_RNA from 1 species
AAGGAUCAUUAAAAGAUACAUGGUUUUGCAUCACGCAAGCACUGUAUGUAACCCACACUGAGUACCUCUGCCUGUUGCUUCCAUGGGGCCCGACUCCAGUCGCUCUGGGGAUUGUUCAAUCCCGAGGGAGUCCCCAUGGGAGGUAACCUCUUAAUAUCUUGAACUACAAUGCCUUCUGUCUGAUUAUGUUUAAAACAAAUGUUAAAACUUUCAACAACGGAUCUCUUGGUUCUC